UACAGAGGAGCCAAGCGUUGUCCGGAUUGACUGGGCGUAAAGCGCACGCAGGCGGCACCGCGCGUGGGGUGUGAAAUCUGGCCGCUUAACGGCCAGGCGCCAUCCCAUACGGCGGAGCUGGAGUGAUGCAGAGGUCGAUGGAAUUGCCGGUGUAGUGGUGAAAUGCGUAGAGAUCGGGAGGAACACCUGUGGCGAAGGCGGCCCCCUGGGCCGGCCCUGACACUGAGACGCGAAGGCGUGGGGAGCGAACGGG
rnacentral:rRNA from 1 species